GACAGAGGGUGCAAACGUUGUUCGGAAUUAUUGGGCGUAAAGGGCUCGUAGGCGGUUUGUCGCGUCGGGAGUGAAAACCCAGGGCUUAACCCUGGGCUGGCUUUCGAUACGGGCAGACUAGAGGUAUGCAGGGGAGAACGGAAUUCCUGGUGUAGCGGUGAAAUGCGCAGAUAUCGGGAGGAACACCGGUGGCGAAGGCGGCGACCUGGGUCGAGACUGACGCUGAGGCGCGAAAGCGUGGGGAGCAAACAGG
rnacentral:rRNA from 1 species